rnacentral:rRNA from 1 species
AUUGAACGCUGGCGGCAUGCUUUACACAUGCAAGUCGGACGAGUGGCGAACGGGUGAGUAAUGUCUGGGAAACUGCCUGAUGGAGGGGGAUAACUACUGGAAACGGUAGCUAAUACCGCAUACCAUCAGAUGUGCCCAGAUGGGAUUAGCUAGUAGGUGGGGUAACGGCUCACCUAGGCGACGAUCCGUAGCUGGUCUGAGAGGAUGACCAGCCACACUGGAACUGAGACACGGUCCAGACUCCUACGGGAGGCAGCAGUGGGGAAUAUUGCACAAUGGGCGCAAGCCUGAUGCAGCCAUGCCGCGUGUGUGAAGAAGGCCUUCGGGUUGUAAAGCACUUUCAGCGGGGAGGCGUUACCCGCAGAAGAAGCACCGGCUAACUCCGUGCCAGCAGCCGCGGUAAUAC